CCUACGGGAGGCAGCAGUGGGGAAUAUUGCGCAAUGGGCGAAAGCCUGACGCAGCGACGCCGCGUGAGGGAUGAAGGUCUUCGGAUCGUAAACCUCUGUCAGCAGGGAAGAACGGUCACUGUGCUAAUCAGCAGUGAAUUGACGGUACCUGCAAAGGAAGCACCGGCUAACUCCGUGCCAGCAGCCGCGGUAAUACGGAGGGUGCGAGCGUUAAUCGGAAUUACUGGGCGUAAAGCGCUCGUAGGCGGUAUGUCAAGUCAAGGGUGAAAGCUCCGGGCUCAACGUGGGAAUUGCCUUUGAAACUGGCAGACUGGAGUGUGUGAGAGGAUAGUGGAAUUCGAGGUGUAGGAGUGAAAUCCGUAGAUAUCUGGAAGAACAUCAAUGGCGAAGGCGACUAACUGGCACAUAACUGACGCUGAGGAGCGAAAGCGUGGGUAGCAAACAGGAUUAGAUACCCCAGUAGUC
rnacentral:rRNA from 1 species